AAUAGAUACCCCGGUAGUCCACGCCGUAAACGAUGGAUACUAGCUGUUGGAGGUAUCGACCCCUUCAGUAGCGAAGCUAACGCGUUAAGUAUCCCGCCUGUGGAGUACGGUCGCAAGACUAAAACAUAAAGGAAUUGACGGGGGACCCGCACAAGCGGUGGAUCGUGUUCUUUAAUUCGAUGCUAAACGAAGAACCUUACCAGGGUUUGACAUCCCUUGAAUUAAUCCGAAAGGAUUGAGUGCUUUAUUGAACAAGGUGACAGGUGAUGCAUGGCCGUCGUCAGCUCGUGUCGUGAGAUGUUUGGUUAAGUCCAUCAACGAGCGCAACCCUUGCAAGUUAGUUGUAUUUUCUACUUGGACUGCCCCGGUAACGGGGAGGAAGGAGGGGAUGAUGUCAGGUCAGUAUUCCCUUACAUCCUGAGCUAGAAACACGAUACAAUGGCUAGUACAAUGCGCAGCGAAGCCGCGAGGUGAAGCAAAUCGCAUCAAAGCUAGUCCCAGUUCGGAUUGGAGGCUGAAACUCGCCUCAUGAAGUCGGAA
rnacentral:rRNA from 1 species